GUUCUUCAGAAGCGGGGUAUAAACGAUAGCACAGGUGUUGCUGGGCACAUCCGGUAAGCUAGCCAAGGACAGUCCGUUAGCAAUUUGUACCCCAAGUGAUCUCCUGUGGUAACAGAAAUUCAUGUGUUAGGAAUGACACUGUUAGGAAACCUAUGAGAACUAGGAACAAUAAAGAUGACAAAUACUACGCUGUCUAAGGCAACAGGAUCAGGUGAAAAAAGUGAACUUCCAGCUCAAAGUGUUCCCACAUCAAGAAGGCGUCAAUUGCAAGUUAAAGAUGCAACAAUGACAGAACAGGUGACUUGAAUAAAGACAAAUGGCUAGAAGGCUAUAGCUAUGUCCUGGAAUACGUAACAGGAAAAGAUGAGGAAUAUGGUGUAAUGGUAUCGUCCGUAUCGAGCCCUUCUAUACUAUACUAGUGUGUGUAAUCGAACGCACCUUUACUUUGUUGUGUGUAGAUGGGGCCAUGCAUGAUGUAAAAUACAAAGGAAAAAAGCAAAAACCAUGGUGCAUAAUCUACAGCAAGACCUACAUAAUGGUGAUCUUCAAUUUGGGGAUAUUUAGGCAAUCCCAUCUGUGUAUCCAAACCACUCUGCAAUUUAUCCGAGCCUGCUGACCUAACCAG